GCAAAAGGAAGCUCUCGGGGCUUGUGUCAUUCCCUGCAGGGGACACAGCAGAAGUCCCGUUAGGCCAAACUGUGCCAUUUCAAUUCUUCCGAGCCGGGCUGGUGGGGAGGAGGACAUGAUUGGAAGUGGGUUCUCUGGCCCCUCCAGGAAUGCCAGUUCUCGGGCAUUCACCCUGGUGCGCCUGUUUGUCCCGAGGACCCGGCUCCGGAGAACAGCCAGACGCAAGUGAAAUUCUGGGGUGUCCAAACUACUUAGCACCCACAGGGCAGUCUGCAGCCUGGAGAUCCCUGCUGCCCCACACCGCACUGGGGCCCGGAGUGAGGCAGGCAGACUCGAAUGAACAGAGCCCUAAACUUUCCGUGCAAAGCCCGAGUUUGGGGGCUCACUCUCUACCACUGGAACGCAAUUCAUCAACAGCCCAAACAAAGGGAAACAAGCCUACACUUCAGGUGGGAAUGAAGGAGAUGAAGAAAAAUCCCAGACCAAAACAAAACCCAACCGAGGCCGCCUAGGGCGGUGGCUACCGAGAGCCCUACGGAGCUGGGUCCUGGACCCCCGCACCAAGCCCCCCAGGCUUCCACGGGCGUGGGCUCCAGCCUCUCCGCAGGCCUCCCCCAAAUAUUAAUCAAUAAAC